CAGCACUACUGCCACCUUCUGAUUUGGAGGGGAAACUACAACACUUUCUCAAAGCGACGCCACUACAGUACGCUCGAGUGUAAGAGCACAUAACGCUAUCGUCAAAUACAGCCUCGGUAUGUGAC